AGACCCGAAACCCGGUGAUCUAGCCAUGGGCAGGUUGAAGGUUGGGUAACACUAACUGGAGGACCGAACCGACUAAUGUUGAAAAAUUAGCGGAUGACCUGUGGCUGGGGGUGAAAGGCCAAUCAAACCGGGAGAUAGCUGGUUCUCCCCGAAAGCUAUUUAGGUAGCGCCUCGUGAAUUCAUCUCCGGGGGUAGAGCACUGUUUCGGCUAGGGGGCCAUCCCGGCUUACCAACCCGAUGCAAACUGCGAAUACCGGAGAAUGUUAUCACGGGAGACACACGGCGGGUGCUAACGUCCGUCGUGAAGAGGGAAACAACCCAGACCGCCAGCUAAGGUCCCAAAGUCAUGGUUAAGUGGGAAACGAUGUGGGAAGGCCCAGACAGCCAGGAUGUUGGCUUAGAAGCAGCCAUCAUUUAAAGAAAGCGUAAUAGCUCACUGGUCGAGUCGGCCUGCGCGGAAGAUGUAACGGGGCUAAACCAUGCACCGAAGCUGCGGCAGCGACGCUGAUGCGUUGUUGGGUAGGGGAGCGUUCUGUAAGCCUGUGAAGGUGGCCUGUGAGGGUUGCUGGAGGUAUCAGAAGUGCGAAUGCUGACAUAAGUAACGAUAAAGCGGGUGAAAAGCCCGCUCGCCGGAAGACCAAGGGUUCCUGUCCAACGUUAAUCGGGGCAGGGUGAGUCGACCCCUAAGGCGAGGCCGAAAGGCGUAGUCGAUGGGAAACGGGUUAAUAUUCCCGUACUUGGUGUUACUGCGAAGGGGGGACGGAGAAGGCUAUGUUGGCCGGGCGACGGUUGUCCCGGUUUAAGCGUGUAGGUGUGUGUUCCAGGUAAAUCCGGUUCACUUUAACACUGAGGCGUGAUGACGAGGCACUACGGUGCUGAAGCAACAAAUGCCCUGCUUCCAGGAAAAGCCUCUAAGCAUCAGGUAACAUCAAAUCGUACCCCAAACCGACACAGGUGGUCAGGUAGAGAAUACCAAGGCGCUUGAGAGAACUCGGGUGAAGGAACUAGGCAAAAUGGUGCCGUAACUUCGGGAGAAGGCACGCUGACACGUAGGUGAAGUGAUUUACUCAUGGAGCUGAAGUCAGUCGAAGAUACCAGCUGGCUGCAACUGUUUAUUAAAAACACAGCACUGUGCAAACACGAAAGUGGACGUAUACGGUGUGACGCCUGCCCGGUGCCGGAAGGUUAAUUGAUGGGGUCAGCGCAAGCGAAGCUCCUGAUCGAAGCCCCGGUAAACGGCGGCCGUAACUAUAACGGUCCUAAGGUAGCGAAAUUCCUUGUCGGGUAAGUUCCGACCUGCACGAAUGGCGUAAUGAUGGCCAGGCUGUCUCCACCCGAGACUCAGUGAAAUUGAACUCGCUGUGAAGAUGCAGUGUACCCGCGGCAAGACGGAAAGACCCCGUGAACCUUUACUAUAGCUUGACACUGAACAUUGAGCCUUGAUGUGUAGGAUAGGUGGGAGGCUUUGAAGUGUGGACGCCAGUCUGCAUGGAGCCGACCUUGAAAUACCACCCUUUAAUGUUUGAUGUUCUAACGUGGACCCGUGAUCCGGGUUGCGGACAGUGUCUGGUGGGUAGUUUGACUGGGGCGGUCUCCUCCUAAAGAGUAACGGAGGAGCACGAAGGUUGGCUAAUCCUGGUCGGACAUCAGGAGGUUAGUGCAAUGGCAUAAGCCAGCUUGACUGCGAGCGUGACGGCGCGAGCAGGUGCGAAAGCAGGUCAUAGUGAUCCGGUGGUUCUGAAUGGAAGGGCCAUCGCUCAACGGAUAAAAGGUACUCCGGGGAUAACAGGCUGAUACCGCCCAAGAGUUCAUAUCGACGGCGGUGUUUGGCACCUCGAUGUCGGCUCAUCACAUCCUGGGGCUGAAGUAGGUCCCAAGGGUAUGGCUGUUCGCCAUUUAAAGUGGUACGCGAGCUGGGUUUAGAACGUCGUGAGACAGUUCGGUCCCUAUCUGCCGUGGGCGCUGGAGAACUGAGGGGGGCUGCUCCUAGUACGAGAGGACCGGAGUGGACGCAUCACUGGUGUUCGGGUUGUCAUGCCAAUGGCACU
rnacentral:rRNA from 1 species